AUCCAGACGACGACGAGUCCUAAAUAGGACGAAAUUCGCAUCCUGGAU
rnacentral:hammerhead_ribozyme from 1 species